ACCCGCUGAACUUAAGCAUAUCAAUAAGCGGAGGAAAAGAAACCAACAGGGAUUGCCUUAGUAACGGCGAGUGAAGCGGCAACAGCUCAAAUUUGAAAGCUGGCCCUUUCAGGGUCCGCAUUGUAAUUUGUAGAGGAUGAUUCGGCGAGGGCUCCCGCCUAAGUCCCCUGGAACGGGGCGUCAUAGAGGGUGAGAAUCCCGUAUGCGGUGGGCUGCCUUUANCCAUGUGAAUCUCCUUCGACGAGUCGAGUUGUUUGGGAAUGCAGCUCUAAAUGGGAGGUAAAUUUCUUCUAAAGCUAAAUACCGGCCAGAGACCGAUAGCGCACAAGUAGAGUGAUCGAAAGAUGAAAAGCACUUUGGAAAGAGAGUUAAAAAGUACGUGAAAUUGUUGAAAGGGAAGCGCUUGCAACCAGACUUGUCCGCAGUUGCUCAGCCGGUCUCCUGACCGGCGUACUCUUCUGCGGCCAGGCCAGCAUCAGUUCGGGCGGUCGGAUAAAGACCUCGGGAAUGUAGCUCCUCUCGGGGAGUGUUAUAGCCCGGGGUGGAAUGCGGCCAGCCUGGACUGAGGAUCUCGCUUCGGCAAGGAUGCUGGCGUAAUGGUUGUAAGCGGCCCGUCUUGAAACACGGACCAAGGAGUCUAACAUCUAUGCGAGUGUUUGGGUGUCAAACCCAUACGCGUAAUGAAAGUGAACGGAGGUGGGAACCCGCAAGGGUGCACCAUCGGCCGAUCCUGAUGUCUUCGGAUGGAUUUGAGCAAGAGCAUAGCUGUUGGGACCCGAAAGAUGGUGAACUAUGCCUGAAUAGGGUGAAGCCAGAGGAAACUCUGGUGGAGGCUCGCAGCGGUUNUGACGUGCAAAUCGAUCGUCAAA
rnacentral:rRNA from 1 species